GAUGAACGCUGGCGGCGUGCCUAAUACAUGCAAGUCGAGCGAACAGACGAGGAGCUUGCUCCUCUGACGUUAGCGGCGGACGGGUGAGUAACACGUGGAUAACCUACCUAUAAGACUGGGAUAACUUCGGGAAACCGGAGCUAAUACGGGAAAAUAUAUUAACCGGCAGGGUUCAAUGGGAAAAGAGGGUUUGGCGUUACCUAUUGGAGGGAUCGCGCCGCCUUUGCUAGUUGGUAAGGUAAAGGCUUACCAAGGCAACGAUGCGUAGCCGACCUGAGAGGGUGAUCGGCCACACUGGAACUGAGACACGGUCCAGACUCCUACGGGAGGCAGCAGUAGGGAAUCUUCCGCAAUGGGCGAAAGCCUGACGGAGCAACGCCGCGUGAGUGAUGAAGGUCUUCGGAUCGUAAAACUCUGUUAUUAGGGAAGAACAAAUGUGUAAGUAACUAUGCACGUCUUGACGGUACCUAAUCAGAAAGCCACGGCUAACUACGUG
rnacentral:rRNA from 1 species